rnacentral:rRNA from 1 species
CCUACGGGAGGCAGCAGUGGGGAAUUUUGGACAAUGGGCGAAAGCCUGAUCCAGCCAUACCGCGUGCGGGAAGAAGGCCUUCGGGUUGUAAACCGCUUUUGUCAGGGAAGAAAUGCUUCGGGCUAAUACCCUGGGGUGAUGACGGUACCUGAAGAAUAAGCACCGGCUAACUACGUGCCAGCAGCCGCGGUAAUACGUAGGGUGCAAGCGUUAAUCGGAAUUACUGGGCGUAAAGCGUGCGCAGGCGGUUCUAUAAGACAGAUGUGAAAUCCCCGGGCUCAACCUGGGAACUGCAUUUGUGACUGUAGAGCUAGAGUACGGUAGAGGGGGAUGGAAUUCCGCGUGUAGCAGUGAAAUGCGUAGAUAUGCGGAGGAACACCGAUGGCGAAGGCAAUCCCCUGGACCUGUACUGACGCUCAUGCACGAAAGCGUGGGGAGCAAACAGGAUUAGAUACCCUGGUAGUCCACGCCCUAAACGAUGUCAACUGGUUGUUGGGAGGGUUUCUUCUCAGUAACGAAGCUAACGCGUGAAGUUGACCGCCUGGGGGAGGUACGGCCGCGAGUAGUAACGACGAAGAAGUAGACGGCGNGAGAGUGCCGACGACGACGACGAGGGAGGAGG